GGAAAGGUUGUAGCUCAAUAGUACAUCAUCUGUCUUGCAUGCAGAAGUUCACAGGUUCAAUCCCUGCCAUCUCCA